AACGAACGCUGGCGGCAUGCCUAACACAUGCAAGUCGAACGAGACCUUCGGGUCUAGGGGCGCACGGGUGCGUAACGCGUGGGAACCUGCCCUUAGGUUCGGAAUAACUCCCCGAAAGGGGUGCUAAUACCGGAUAAUGUCUUCGGACCAAAGUUUUAUCGCCUUUGGAUGGGCCCGCGUUGGAUUAGCUAGUUGGUAGGGUAAAAGCCUACCAAGGCGACGAUCCAUAGCUGGUCUGAGAGGAUGAUCAGCCACACUGGGACUGAGACACGGCCCAGACUCCUACGGGACGCAGCAGUGGGGAAUAUUGGCCAAUGGGCGAAAGCCUGCUCCAGCAAUGCCGCGUGAGUGAUGAAGGCCUUAGGGUUGUAAAGCUCUUUUACCCGGGAUGAUAAUGACAGUACCGGGAGAAUAAGCUCCGGCUAACUCCGUG
rnacentral:rRNA from 1 species